rfam:Thermococcus pacificus strain P-4, complete genome.
GGACGAUGAGGAGAAAGCACCUCCUCUGAGACCGGCGUGAGUGCUGAGACGCCCACGGUCUGAGU